AGUUCCUCAGAAUAAGUGGGCUUUUCCAAGCACUCUCCACCUGUUGCAAAGGCCUCCCAGCAGGGAAGUGGGCUGUCAGGGGCAACACUGCACUCUCCACUGUAAUAAGGAGAAAGCCAAGGGCCACAGAGAGGAGUGCCUUUCCAGUGUCACUGCUCACUUUCCCACCUUUUGGGAGACUGGGAGGCUUUUCUACUACAUUCUGGCUCUGAAGCCCCAAUAUUGUUUGGACAUGUCUCCCUCCCUGGAGCAGGGAAUCACUAAGUGACCUGUCACUUGUCACCAAGCAGACAGGCUCAUUUCAGCUCAUUGUGCCACCUGCAGGUUGUACUAGUAGCAGGAUCCUCUGGGAGACAUCACAGUCUCCCAACCUGAAAACAGGUGAACAGCUCACAGGUUUCCUGGAGAGGAUGGUCACAUGGCCUUGAUCUGGCCAAUCAGCAUUUUCCAUCCUCCCUGGCCACUGUGAUUGGCUCAGGGCUGGGCACCAGCCCAAUCAGGCUCCACGGAGGUCAGGCCUAGUUGCUGGAAUCCUGGGAGCAGAGAAGUUCUAUUUCAGUUGGGAGUUGAGGGGUGGUGAUGUCAGCCUGUGGCAGUUGGUGACUAUCUUGCUCUCGUAAAGGCAGAGCCAUGUGAAGAUGACACCAGUGGCAGAGCCCAGAGGUGGGGAAAGAUGACUUCUGCUGAUGUCACUGAGCACCAGGUACAGCUCUGCCUGAAGCUAUCUCCUUGUGGAUGUCUCAGUUAGGCUGUCUGCUGCAUGAGAAUGGAGACCUGCCUGCUUCACUCCCUGCUGUGCCCGGUAUAUGGAACCCGCCCAACACACAGUAGGACCUCAGCGAAUGUGUGACGGGUGUGUGAUCACUGUAGGCCACAGACAAAGGUCUUCCCAGCAGUGAUGAAACCCUGUGACAGAUCCUGUCCACAGCACCCUGCUCCUCCGAUCCUGACCCCAGGCUUUCCCAUGGGGUGUGACCCCGCAUGGGGUGCAGUCCCCUCCUCCAGUCUGACGUCAGUAAUCUUGGACCCGUUCUUGGAGCAGAGAAUUGAGUACCUUCCUAAAGUGUACGUUGACACUCCAUAUGUUUCUGCCAGUAUCAGCGAGGUUCAAUAUGUCUCAUGAAUGUCUUUUGAGCCUGGUAUUCUCAACAGAAGUCUCCAUGCCAGUAUUCUCCAUUGUAGCAGAACAACUCUCAUCAAUGUGUUCGCAUCUCACCUCAAUUUGUGCAGCCAGCUUUUCUGCCAACUUCCUUCAUGUCUCCUAUAAAGUCAAAUUCUAAAGGACAGGGCAAGUCUGAAAGUACCUCGGAGCCUCACCUGUAAGCUGAUGACAGGCAGAUCUUCCACUAUCUGCCCUUUCAGAUUCUGGAAACUGACCCGUGAACUCAGGCCAUUGCGCAGCACGAGUAUCUCGAACUUACACAGAUUCCAGAAAAAGAGACUUAAGCCAAGCUCCAUAGAGGGCGGUACCGCCUCCAUGACACUGAUCCACCCACAGAAUUCUGCCCAGUUACCUUGGAUCCACCAGCCACAACAAUCCUGGCAGAACACACCAAGAUUCCACCUGGAAUCCAACCGGUAACUGCCAUCCCCAAUGGUUGCUGCAUCUUGUCAGUGUUGGGGGAGGGGCUGCAUCAGACGAGAGGUUCCAAAGGUUUUCUGAGGCCUCAUCCUGUCUUUGGAAGUAACAGACCACACUUCGGAAAGUGUCCUGUGCCAAGGGCUGGACGUCAGGAAUCUUGGACCCGUUCUUGAAGCAGGG